rnacentral:rRNA from 1 species
GGCGGCAGGCCUAACACAUGCAAGUCGAGCGCACCCUUCGGGCGAGCGGCGGACGGGUUAGUAACGCGUGGAACAUACCCUUUACUACGGAUUAGCCUCGGGAAACUGAGAGUAAUACCGUAUGUGCCCUUCGGGGGAAAGAUUUAUCGGUAAAGGAUUGGCCCGCGUAAGAUUAGAUAGUUGGUGGGGUAAUGGCCUACCAAGUCUACGAUCUUUAGCUGGUUUUAGAGGAUGAUCAGCAACACUGGGANUGAGACACGGCCCAGACUCCUACGGGAGGCAGCAGUGGGGAAUCUUAGACAAUGGGCGCAAGCCUGAUCUAGCCAUGCCGCGUGUGUGAUGUAGGCCUAAGGGUCGUAAAGCACUUCGCUAGGGAUGAUAAUGACAGUACCUAGUAAAGAAACCCCGGCUAACUCCGUGCCAGCAGCCGCGGUAAUAC